rnacentral:rRNA from 1 species
GACGAACCGUGCGAACGUUGUUCGGAAUCACUGGGCUUAAAGGGCGCGUAGGCGGGUGUGCAAGUCUGUGGUGAAAGCCUCCAGCUUAACUGGAGAAGUGCCAUGGAUACUGCACAUCUUGAGGAGGGUAGGGGCUUCUGGAACGGUCGGUGGAGCGGUGAAAUGCGUUGAUAUCGACCGGAACUCCGGUGGCGAAGGCGAGGUGCUGGACCCUUUCUGACGCUGAGGCGCGAAAGCCAGGGGAGCAAACGGG